rnacentral:rRNA from 1 species
CUGACGAAGCAAACCGCAUGAAUUUUGAAGGCCUAUGGGGUCGUAAACUUCUUUUCUCAGAGAAGAAUUUUGACGGUAUCUGACGAAUAAGCAUCGGCUAACUCUGUGCCAGCAGCCGCGGUAAGACAGAGGAUGCAAGCGUUAUCCGGAAUGAUUGGGCGUAAAGCGUCUGUAGGUGGUUUCACAAGUCUUCUGUCAAAGAUCAGGGCUUAACCCUGGGCAGGCAGGAGAAACUAUGAGGCUUGAUUUCGGUAGGGGCAGAGGGAAUUCCCGGUGGAGCGGUGAAAUGCGUACAUAUCGGGAGGAACACCAAAGGCGAAAGCACUCUGCUGGGCCGCGACUGACACUGACAGACGAAAGCGAGGGGAGCAAAUGGGAUUAGAUACCCCAGUAGUCCUCGCCGUAAACGAUGGAUACUAGGUGUUGGAUGUAUUCAAAUCAUUCAGUACCGUAGCUAACGCGUUAAGUAUCCCGCCUGGGGAGUAUGCUCGCAAGAGUGAAACUCAAAUGAAUUGACGG